CCUGGAGAGGAAAGGGCCCAGGUGGUUGACGUGUUUUCCUAAAGUCAGUUUCUCAGUUUGGAUGGUUGUCGCUCUGCCGCCCACCCCUCCUGUGAUGGUGACAGAGAUGUUGAGAACAGGGGAAGCCCUCUGGCAUUUCCCCCACACGAUCUCACCAGCUUCUCUGUGAGUCUCUGACAGCUUCCAAACUUAAACAGUUAAAUAAAUAAAUAAAUAAAUAAAUAAAUAAAUAAAUAAAUAGCUGACUUAUCAAAAAGAGAGAGAGAGAGAGAAAGAGGGGACCAGCCUGCAUUAGGUGGAGACCACUUCUGGCCGCUGAGCCAGGCCCCGAGGACAUGAGGGUGGAGAUUAGGGGUCUCGUCCUCGAGGCUGGGUAAGGGCACCUGGGGGAUGGUGCUUGGAGCAGAUGGAGGCUCAGGGGAGAGCAGGGGUCCCAGCAACACCCGAGGGCUGGCCGUGGUCAACGAUGGCCAUGGGCACUCCAGCUGCAGGGGUGAGGGCGGAGAACUUGCUCCAGAUGAGGACACGGAGCUGAGGCGGAUGAGGGCCCCCGGGGCCAGAUCCGUCUAUGCAAUGGGCCGCAGGACACCAGACACAUGACAGGAUUGCAGGCGGGGGCUGGCUUCCCAGUGAAAUAGGAGGACGUCGGAAAUGACCAGCCAGCCUUACAAGGACGGUGUUUGUCCAGAAAGAUCAAGACUUUAACUGGAAGUGAUUAGUGUCCACAGAAGCACACACCCCGGGUGGCCUGGGUCCAGGGCUCUGAGCCGAAUGACUGCGCCGCGGCCGCUGCACUGGCGGGAGCUGGUCACAGGGAAGGAGCGGCCUUGGCUGAGGCUCACUGUGGCUCUGGGCACAAGUCACCCUAAUGCACUUGUAAAUAAACCAAUGCAAGGACUGACCAGGUACCAGCUGCUGAUGCGUCUGCUGUCAUCUCCAGUCCUUACUACACCCCCAUGGCAGAUGCACAACAAACUCAAGGUCAGUGACGUGCUCGGGCUAAGGGCAACGGGGACUAGGCUUUGGACUCCGUCCCCCUGAACACCACGCCCUGGCACCUGCCACCACGAAGCUCUUGGGCAUCGUCUCAGUUCGCAGGUGACGCUCAAGGCUAAGUACCUAGUAGUGUACUGUCCCCUUUCACUGGCCUUCCCCAGGACAAAGGGACACAAGGCUCAGAGCAUCGACCGCCUCGGGUGGCCCACGUCACACAGGAGCGGGGUAUUCUGGGGCUGGAGCCUCAGUCUCAGGGGCAUCCACGGGCCUAGGGGGAUAGGGAUUUUCCCAGAUGGGCCCUGGGGAGACUCCUGCCAUCCUCUCUUCUUUGUGGGGCUUCUGGGCUUCCCAGUUUGCUUCUCUGGGCAGACGGCUUCCUGUGCUGGUUCACUGCCCCGCUGUUCCCCGUGAGAAACCUGGACCCCCCCAGACCCCCCCCAGGACUCCGGCACCCCCUCUAUGCAAACACCCCCCCAUCAUCUGACUAAUGCUCCAUGUCCCU
rnacentral:lncRNA from 1 species